rnacentral:rRNA from 1 species
AGUGAACGCUGGCGGUAUGCCUAACACAUGCAAGUCGAACGGCAGCACAGUAAGAUUUUGUCUUUACUGUUGGCGGCGGGCGGGCGGGUAAGGAGUACAUCGGCACCUUCUUUUUCGGGGGGGAUAACGUAGGAAAACUUACGCUAAUACCGCAUACUCUCUACGGGUGAAAUCAGGGGAUCUUCGGACCUUGGGCGACUGAAUUAGCCGAUGUCGCAUUAGCUAGUUGGGUGGGUAAGGGCCCACCAAGGCGACGAUCCGUAGCUGAUCUGAGAGGAUGAUCAGCCACACUGGAACUGAGACACGGUCCAGACUCCUACGGGAGGCAGCAGUGGGGAAUAUUGGGCAAUGGGCGCAAGCCUGAUCCAGCCAUGCCGCGUGGGUGAAGAAGGCCUUCGGGUUGUAAAGCCCUUUUGUUGGGAAAGAAAAGCAGCAGGUUAAUACCCCGCUGUUCUGACGGUACCCAAAGAAUAAGCACCGGCUAACUUCGUG